AACGCUGGCGGCGUGCCUAAUACAUGCAAGUCGAACGCACUUCGGUUUUUGAUUGACGGUGCUUGCACCAGAUUGACGAGACAUUGAAGUGAGUGGCGAACGGGUGAGUAACACGUGGGUAACCUGCCCUAAAGUGGGGGAUAACAUUUGGAAACAGAUGCUAAUACCGCAUAACAACGAAAACCACAUGGUUUUCGCUUGAAAGAUGGUUUCGGCUAUCACUUUAGGAUGGACCCGCGGUGCAUUAGCUAGUUGGUAAGGUAACGGCUUACCAAGGCAAUGAUGCAUAGCCGAGCUGAGAGGCUGAUCGGCCACAUUGGGACUGAGACACGGCCCAGACUCCUACGGGAGGCAGCAGUAGGGAAUCUUCCACAAUGGGCGCAAGCCUGAUGGAGCAACGCCGCGUGAGUGAAGAAGGGUUUCGGCUCGUAAAACUCUGUUGUUAAAGAAGAACGUAUCUGAGAGUAACUGUUCAGAUAGUGACGGUAUUUAACCAGAAAGCCACGGCUAACUA
rnacentral:rRNA from 1 species